AGUGGGGAAUAUUGCGCAAUGGGGGAAACCCUGACGCAGCGACGCCGCGUGUAGGAAGAAGGCCUUCGGGUCGUAAACUACUGUCAAGAGGGAAGAAACCGUAGAGCAUUAAUACGGCUCUGCGCUGACGGUACCUCUAGAGGAAGCACCGGCUAACUCCGUGCCAGCAGCCGCGGUAAUACGGAGGGUGCGAGCGUUAAUCGGAAUCACUGGGCGUAAAGCGUGCGUAGGCGGCGUAUCAAGUCAGGCGUGAAAGCCCUCGGCUCAACCGGGGAAUUGCGCUUGAAACUGGUACGCUAGAGUCUCGGAGAGGUUGGCGGAAUUCCAGGUGUAGGAGUGAAAUCCGUAGAUAUCUGGAGGAACACCGGUGGCGAAGGCGGCCAACUGGACGAGUACUGACGCUGAGGUACGAAAGCGUGGGUAGCAAACAGGAUUAGAUACCCUGGUAGUCCACGCUGUAAACGAUGGAUAUUAGGUGUCGGGGUUUUACUUCGGUGCCGCAGUUAACGCGUUAAAUAUCCCGCCUGGGGAGUACGGUCGCAAGGCUG
rnacentral:rRNA from 1 species